GCCGGGCGCGGUGGUGCGUGCCUAUAGUCUCAGCUACUUGGGAAGCUGAGGUGGGAGGAUCGCUUGAGCUCAGGAGUUCUGGGCUGUAGUGCGCUAUGCAGAUCGGGUGUCCGCACUAAGUUCGGCAUCAAUAUGGUGACCUCCCGGGAGCAGGGGACCACCAGAUUGCCUAAGGAGGGGUGAACCAGCCCAGGUUGGAAAUGGAGCAGGUCAAAACUCCCGUGCUGAUCAGUAGUGGGAUCGUGCCUGGGAAUAGCCACUGCACUCCAGCCCGGGCAACAUAGCGAGACCCCAUCUCU
ensembl:misc_RNA Metazoa_SRP Metazoan signal recognition particle RNA